rnacentral:tmRNA from 1 species
GGGGGUGACCGGCUUCGACUCCGGACGUCGAGGCAGGGGAAGCGGGCCGAGGAUGAGCGGUUAUCUCGUAAACGAUCCGUUCGAACCAAUAGCUGCCAACAAGACGCAGCCUGCUACCUCCGCUUACGCCCUCGCGGCCUGAGCAGAGACCAAGUAGCCGUCAGCCUGGGAGUUCCUCCGGCCCAGGAUCUGGCGUCGCUAGGAGGAUCACCGUCCCACCCGGUCGCGGGGUGAGUCGGGACAUCUAACAGCGACUGAGCCUGCACCGGCUUGCCUGCGGGACCGGUGGGGCUGAGAAAAAACAAGCAGGCUGCGCCCGGAGAAGCCCUGUGUCGGGGCCGGAGGACGCGGGUUCGAUUCCCGCCACCUCCACCA